rnacentral:rRNA from 1 species
GAUGAACGCUAGCGGCAGGCCUAACACAUGCAAGUCGAGGGAGAGGUUAUCUUCGGGUAACCAAAACCGGCGCACGGGUGCGUAACGCGUAUACAAUCUGCCUUUCACAUAGGGAUAGCCCGAAGAAAUUUGGAUUAAUACCUAAUGGUAUAUAAGAGCGGCAUCGUUUUUAUAUUAAAGCUACGGUGGUGAAAGAUGAGUAUGCGUUCUAUUAGCUAGUUGGAGAGGUAACGGCUCCCCAAGGCGACGAUAGAUAGGGGUUCUGAGAGGGAUGUCCCCCACACUGGUACUGAGAUACGGACCAGACUCCUACGGGAGGCAGCAGUGAGGAAUAUUGGACAAUGGUCGGAAGACUGAUCCAGCCAUGCCGCGUGCAGGAUGAAGGUCCUAUGGAUUGUAAACUGCUUUUGUAAGGGAAGAAUAAGGAGUACGUGUACUU